rnacentral:misc_RNA from 1 species
UUUCCGUAGGUGAACCUGCGGAAGGAUCAUUACAGAGUUCAUGCCCUCACGGGUAGAUCUCCCACCCUUGAAUAUUUAUACCUUAGUUGCUUUGGCAGGCCGUGGAAACACCAUGGGCUCCGGCUUAUGCGUGCCUGCCAGAGGGAACAAACUCUGUUUUUAGUGAUGUCUGAGUACUAUAUAAUAGUUAAAACUUUCAACAACGGAUCUCUUGGUUCUG